UACGUAGGGUCCGAGCGUUGUCCGGAAUUAUUGGGCGUAAAGGGCUCGUAGGCGGUCCGUCACGUCGGGAGUGAAAACUCGGAGCUCAACUCCGAGCCUGCUUCCGAUACGGGCAGACUAGAGGUAGGCAGGGGAGAGCGGAACUCCUGGUGUAGCGGUGGAAUGCGCAGAUAUCAGGAAGAACACCGGUGGCGAAGGCGGGGUCCUGGGCCAGUACUGACGCUGAGGUGCGAAAGCGUGGGGAGCAAACAGG
rnacentral:rRNA from 1 species